rnacentral:rRNA from 1 species
AUUGAACGCUGGCGGCAUGCCUUACACAUGCAAGUCGAACGGUAACGCGGGGCAACCUGGCGACGAGUGGCGAACGGGUGAGUAAUGUAUCGGAACGUGCCCAGUUGUGGGGGAUAACUGCUCGAAAGAGCAGCUAAUACCGCAUACGACCUGAGGGUGAGAGCGGGGGAUCGCAAGACCUCGCGCAAUUGGAGCGGCCGAUAUCAGAUUAGGUAGUUGGUGGGGUAAAGGCUCACCAAGCCAACGAUCUGUAGCUGGUCUGAGAGGACGACCAGCCACACUGGGACUGAGACACGGCCCAGACUCCUACGGGAGGCAGCAGUGGGGAAUUUUGGACAAUGGACGCAUGUCUGAUCCAGCCAUGCCGCGUGCGGGAAGAAGGCCUUCGGGUUGUAAACCGCUUUUGUCAGGGAAGAAACGCUCUGGGUUAAUACCUCGGGGUAAUGACGGUACCUGAAGAAUAAGCACCGGCUAACUACGUGCCAGCCGCCGCGGUAAUAC